rnacentral:lncRNA from 1 species
UUUUAUUUAAAGGACGUGGAGAGAAGCACAACCAGCCAUGGUUUGGCUUUUCCCCUGACCAGAUACACCGUCAGUCAGGUACUUGUGACCUCUGACCGGACAUGGUGCUUGGGGUGGGCACUGAUGAUGCUUGAGGAACUGAUUGGAAUUUUCUUCAGGUACAGUGGGAAAGGAAGGAGGAAGCUGUAAUCGGGGAAGAAGGAGGAAGUGGCCGUCAGAUCUGCAGGGCUGUGCCCUCCCCGGGACCUCAGCAGGAGGGUACUGUCCUGGCCCGCUCAGUGCUCAGUGCCUAACCGGAAUGGCAGGCUUCGCCGACGCCUAGGAAACGUCCGUCUGCAGAACCAGUGUAAAGCGGGGGCCACAACCUUUGUCUUUUGCCUUCCUGGGGAUGAAAUCCAGGGCCUUGUGCUCCAUUACAACUGUACCCCACCCCAACAUGAUUAAGCUUUUGCUUUAUUUGAUACAAUCUCAGUAUCUACUGGAUACUCAUUAUAGGUAAUUUGUAAAACUCGGGUAAUUCCAGCACUUGGGAGGCCAAGGCAGGAGGACUAAUUAGUGUUUGAGGCAGUCUGAAUUACAUUAGCAAGA